rnacentral:rRNA from 1 species
GUUAAUCGGAAUUACUGGGCGUAAAGCGUGCGCAGGCGGUUUGUUAAGUCCGUUGUGAAAGCCCCGAGCUCAACUUGGGAAUUGCAGUGGAUACUGGCAGGCUGGAGUACGGUAGAGGAAGGUGGAAUUCCCGGUGUAGCAGUGAAAUGCGUAGAUAUCGGGAGGAACACCAGUGGCGAAGGCGGCCUUCUGGACCAGUACUGACGCUCAUGCACGAAAGCGUGGGUAGCAAACAGG